rnacentral:rRNA from 1 species
AGAGUUUGAUCCUGGCUCAGAAUCAACGCUGGCGGCGUGCCUAACACAUGCAAGUCGAACGAGAAAGUGGUAGCAAUACCAUGAGUAAAGUGGCGCACGGGUGAGUAACACGUGACUAACCUACCCUGGAGUGGGGGAUAACUGAGGGAAACCUUAGCUAAUACCGCAUAAUACCUACGGGUCAAAGGAGCAAUUCGCUUUGGGAGGGGGUCGCGGCCGAUUAGUUAGUUGGCGGGGUAAUGGCCCACCAAGACGAUGAUCGGUAUCCGGCCUGAGAGGGCGCACGGACACACUGGAACUGAAACACGGUCCAGACUCCUACGGGAGGCAGCAGUGGGGAAUUUUGCGCAAUGGGGGAAACCCUGACGCAGCAACGCCGCGUGGAGGAUGAAGUCCUUCGGGACGUAAACUCCUUUCGAUCGGGACGAUUAUGACGGUACCGGAAGAAGAAGCCCCGGCUAACUUCGUGCCAGCAGCCGCGGUAAUACGAGGGGGGCGAGCGUUGUUCGGAAUUAUUGGGCGUAAAGGGUGCGUAGGCGGUUUGGUAAGUCUCUUGUGAAAUCUAUGGGCUCAACUCAUAGUCUGCAAGGGAAACUGCCGGGCUUGAGUGUGGGAGAGGUGAGUGGAAUUUCCGGUGUAGCGGUGAAAUGCGUAGAUAUCGGAAGGAACACCUGUGGCGAAAGCGGCUCACUGGACCACAACUGACGCUGAUGCACGAAAGCUAGGGGAGCAAACAGGAUUAGAUACCCUAGUAGUCC